UACAGAGGUCUCAAGCGUUGUUCGGAUUCAUUGGGCGUAAAGGGUGCGUAGGCGGCGCGGUAAGUCGGGUGUGAAAUCUUGGAGCUUAACUCCGAAACUGCAUUCGAUACUGCCGUGCUUGAGGACUGGAGAGGAGACUGGAAUUUACGGUGUAGCGGUGAAAUGCGCAGAUAUCGGGAAGAACACCCGUGGCGAAGGCGGCUCUCUGGGACGGUACUGACGCUGAGACGCGAAAGCGUGGGGAGCGAACAGG
rnacentral:rRNA from 1 species